rnacentral:rRNA from 1 species
CAGUCGCCACGGUAAUACGUAGGGUGCGAGCGUUAAUCGGAAUUACUGGGCGUAAAGCGCACGUAGGCGGAUCGAUCAGUCAGGGGUGAAAUCCCAGAGCUCAACUCUGGAACUGCCUUUGAUACUGUCGAUCUGGAGUAUGGAAGAGGUGAGUGGAACUCCGAGUGUAGAGGUGAAAUUCGUAGAUAUUCGGAGGAACACCAGUGGCGAAGGCGGCUCACUGGUCCAUUACUGACGCUGAGGUGCGAAAGCGUGGGGAGCAAACAGGAUUAGAUACCCCCGUAGUCCCUGUCUCUUAUAC